rnacentral:tRNA from 1 species
GCAUUGGUGGUUCAGUGGUAGAGUUCUCACCUCCCUUGUAGGAGACCUGGGUUCAGUUCCUGGCCAAUGCA